AAAGGAAAAGCCCUCAGAGCUUCCCAGACUGGCACCUGCUCCUAGGGUGUGAGGAGGGUAGCACAGGGUCUGCCCUCAGAGACCUCAGGCUCAGAGAAUCAAGCUUCUCCCUCCCCUCCUGGGACCUACAGGGUCUGAGAUCGUCCACCAGGAGGAGGAGAAAGGAGUAGAGACCCCCUUCCUCGCUGCUGUCCUGGGACAGCCGGCACCCCUGGCACCCUCUGCCUCCCCACACUUCCAUGGCUUUGCCCUCUUGGCUUUCUGAGCCUCUGCCAAGCUUCUGUGCAUUCUUCAAGACCCACCUCAAAAGCCACCUCCAGGAAGCUGUCCUGGGUUCCUGUCCCUCGACCCCCAACAGAAUUAACUGCCCUCUCCUCUGCUCCCGCCUCCUGCUCCAGGCCCCUGGGGCUCACAGCUCUCAGGCUGUGGUUUUUCUCACCUUCCUGCAGCACAGCACCUCCCUGCGCAGACCAACCUUAUCCAAUCAACAAACGGGCACUGAGUCCCUCCCUGAGCAAGCUCCGUGGAGGAAAGGGGCCGCCACGUGGGGGAUGUGAGAUAGUUUAUCCCCUUGGCCUACAUGUAGGGGUGGGCUGGAUGAGGCACCCCUCUCAUUGAAAGUCCUGUGGAGGCUCUGAGGGCACCCACAGUAUCUAGAGCUGGGGCCAGAAGCUGGACCUGUUGCCAACCAAGACGCUGUCUCCCUGGCCCUUGCUUCCCUCACUGUGAGAAUAGGAGCGGUGCACGCAAAGGCAUGCCCUCAGCAGCCCUUUGAGGGGGGUGCUGUGAGGGGAUUGGUGGCCAGGGCACAGAAAGGUUAAGUGGCUGGCUGAGGUCACACAGCAAGGCAGGUGCAACUCCAAGAGGUCUCUGCACAGGGCAUGUUCUCUGUCUGCCCUCUCUGCUACUCCAGGUGUGGCCUCGGGAGAGGGCUGGUCUCCAACUGCACACUUCCUGGAUAGCAGUGAUCAUGGACACAUUUCAGGUUGGGCACUUGCAGUGCCAAGGGGAGGAGGACGCAAUGUGAAGGGAAGGUUUCUUGGUCGUGGUCUGGAUUGACAAGGAGGGCCAGAGGCAAACAAGGAUCAUCCAGACGGGACGGUUCACCUCUCCCUAACCUCCACAGCGACCCCAGGGCUGUUGGGCACCAGAGGAGGAAAUGCUGACUCACUAAUAGGAAGCUGGGACACACCCUCGUGUUGCAACCGUGGCCUCCCGGGGGUGCGUCGGCCUCAUCUGGCCACUGGGCUGGCGUCCCCCUCUGCUUUCCAUCAGCGCAUACUGGAUUCCCUCACCUUUUGCCGUCCCCACACUGCGCCACCCUGCACCUGGCACCACUCAGCACCUCCUCCUGGCCCUACCCGUCCGCCAUGGAAUCCAGCCACUGAGAAAGGCACCAUUGAAACAGACAUAAUCAUGGGUCAGAAGAUGUGACUCAGCCUCUACUCAAAUCUGUUUGUCAAACCAAAAGGUGCUUCGUGUUUAAGUCAAACUAUCCCUAAUGCAUUUUCCAUUCUCUUCAAAAACCACAGCCAUCAGUUUUAAAAAAAGACAGAAAACAUGAAGCACACUUCUCUUGCCUGGCUUACCAUUUUCUUUGAUCCAUUAAAAUCCAAGAGUGAGCCCUUCCUCGUCUCUAGAGUGUGGAGCAAAGAGGGAAUAAUUAUCCAUAAAGUGGCCUUCUGAGUGUUUGCUUUGCGAUGAAAGAAAACUUUUGAGAGCUUGGAAUAAAGAAGGAAUAUGUUUAACAAGAUUGGACUUACGCAAUGGCAAGAAGGAAACCGAGAUUGAAAAUGACCAAUUUUGCUGGUUGAGAGGCGUCUUGUUUUCUGGAAGAAACUGAGAAUCUGCAGUUGUAGACUGGGAAUGCUAGAACCUCUGGAGUGGCAUCAACUCGAUCGGGGGCCAAAACCAUGAGAAAGCACCAAUAUUUUCCACCGUUUUUAACCAAACUCGGCUGUUGUUGGUCUAAAACCUGCCCUGGGUUUUGAGGGAGCGGUGCUUUUGUGAGCCCAGCUUGCCUUGAGUGCAUGGAUGGGAACCUGAAACCAGCCAGUCUUGCCUCCCACCCUCUCAACUUUUCCAGUAAAAAAUGUGACGGGCACUUUUUUUCCAGUAAAACUGUUCCCCCAGCAGGACAGCCUAUAUGCAGCUAGGUUCCUGGCAAAUGAGCAGGGAAUAAUAGCUGGCUAGAGGUGGGCGGGACUGAAAUACAGCUGUCCACCUCUCCGGAAAACAUCACCCAGGGUUCUCCCCAUCCCCAUCUGACCUUCCAGCCACUAAACAAAUAAAUAAGGCCUUAGAAGCUC
rnacentral:lncRNA from 10 species